AGUGAAUGCAAAGUGAGCUGUGUUCCUCCUCUACUUCUGUGACUGCAGAGAGGAUGACAGAGAACAGUGGACACACAGUUGAACAUGAUGGACUAUAGGACAGGACUGCUGCUUUUAACUGUCUGCUGGGCAGGUGUUGAUGCUCAGACUCUGACAGAGUCUGAACCAGUGGUUCAAAGUCCUGGACAAUCCCACAGACUGACCUGUACAGCCUCUGGGUUCACAUUCAGCAGCUACCAUAUGGCUUGGGUCAGACAGGCUCCUGGACAAGGACUGGAGUGGAUCGCCUGGGUCGAGAAUGAUAAUGACAGAAAAUCCUACUCUACUUCAGUCAGAGGUCGGUUCACCGUCUCCAGAGACAACAGCAGACAGCAGCUGUAUCUGCAGAUGAACAGUCUGAAGGCUGAAGACUCUGCUGUGUAUUACUGUGCCAGACAGCCUCACAGUGACUGAAGCUGGUUCAACAGCUGAACAAAAACCUACAGGACUCAGUCUAACUGUAUUUAUAAAUCCUGUAAAAGAACAGAAUGAAAAUUAAAGAAAUAUUAAACAGACCCUGAGAACAUUGUCACCCAUCAGUCACUUUAAAGUUC